rnacentral:lncRNA from 1 species
GUAACUUUCGCUCAGAUUGUUACGGCCUCCCGGCAGUUUGUGAUCUCUUUGCCUGUAUGCAGCUUAAAGUUGAUAAGGACAAAUGGCUGUACAGAGCCCCUCUUCAGGUAGGUGCUCUGAAGUGCAGUGCUCACACAUGCUUGCUUCUCACCAGCUCACGUUCGCCUCCAGUGAACCAGAGUCCUGUUUAUUUGUACGUGAAUAAACGUCUCUUCAACUUAAGGAACUGUGUGCUAGCAAAGUAAAGAU